rnacentral:rRNA from 1 species
UUUUUAGGUUUUUUUUUUUUCGCUCAGGAUGAACGCUAGCGGGAGGCCUAACACAUGCAAGCCGAGCGGUAGAGAUUCUUCGGAAUCUUGAGAGCGGCGUACGGGUGCGGAACACGUGUGCAACCUGCCUUUAUCAGGGGGAUAGCCUUUCGAAAGGAAGAUUAAUACCCCAUAAUAUUUUGAAUGGCAUCAUUUAAAAUUGAAAACUCCGGUGGAUAGAGAUGGGCACGCGCAAGAUUAGAUAGUUGGUGAGGUAACGGCUCACCAAGUCUGCGAUCUUUAGGGGGCCUGAGAGGGUGAUCCCCCACACUGGUACUGAGACACGGACCAGACUCCUACGGGAGGCAGCAGUGAGGAAUAUUGGACAAUGGGUGCGAGCCUGAUCCAGCCAUCCCGCGUGAAGGACGACGGCCCUAUGGGUUGUAAACUUCUUUUGUAUAGGGAUAAACCUAGAUACGUGUAUCUAGCUGAAGGUACUAUACGAAUAAGCACCGGCUAACUCCGUGCCAGCAGCCGCGGUAAUACGGAGGGUGCAAGCGUUAUCCGGAUUUAUUGGGUUUAAAGGGUCCGUAGGCGGAUCUGUAAGUCAGUGGUGAAAUCUCACAGCUUAACUGUGAAACUGCCAUUGAUACUGCAGGUCUUGAGUGUUGUUGAAGUAGCUGGAAUAAGUAGUGUAGCGGUGAAAUGCAUAGAUAUUACUUAGAACACCAAUUGCGAAGGCAGGUUACUAAGCAACAACUGACGCUGAUGGACGAAAGCGUGGGGAGCGAACAGGAUUAGAUACCCUGGUAGUCCACGCCGUAAACGAUGCUAACUCGUUUUUGGAUUUUCGGAUUCAGAGACUAAGCGAAAGUGAUAAGUUAGCCACCUGGGGAGUACGUUCGCAAGAAUGAAACUCAAAGGAAUUGACGGGGGCCCGCACAAGCGGUGGAUUAUGUGGUUUAAUUCGAUGAUACGCGAGGAACCUUACCAAGGCUUAAAUGGGAAAUGACAGGUUUAGAAAUAGACUUUUCUUCGGACAUUUUUCAAGGUGCUGCAUGGUUGUCGUCAGCUCGUGCCGUGAGGUGUUAGGUUAAGUCCUGCAACGAGCGCAACCCCUGUCACUAGUUGCCAUCAUUAAGUUGGGGACUCUAGUGAGACUGCCUACGCAAGUAGAGAGGAAGGUGGGGAUGACGUCAAAUCAUCACGGCCCUUACGCCUUGGGCCACACACGUAAUACAAUGGCCAGUACAGAGGGCAGCUACACGGUGACGUGAUGCAAAUCUCGAAAGCUGGUCUCAGUUCGGAUUGGAGUCUGCAACUCGACUCUAUGAAGCUGGAAUCGCUAGUAAUCGCGCAUCAGCCAUGGCGCGGUGAAUACGUUCCCGGGCCUUGUACACACCGCCCGUCAAGCCAUGGAAGUCUGGGGUACCUGAAGUCGGUGACCGUAACAGAAGCU